rnacentral:rRNA from 1 species
GAGUGGAGCCUGCGGCUUAAUUUGACUCAACACGGGAAAACUCACCUGGUCCGGACACUGGAAGGAUUGACAGAUUGAAAGCUCUUUCUUGAUUCAGUGGGUGGUGGUGCAUGGCCGUUCUUAGUUGGUGGAGUGAUUUGUCUGGUUAAUUCCGAUAACGAACGAGACUCUAGCCUGCUAACUAGUUCGCCGACAGCUCGUUGUCGCGCGGCGCCAUUUCGGUGGCAAACUUCUUAGAGGGACAGGUGGCGUAUAGCCACACGAAGUAGAGCAAUAACAGGUCUGUGAUGCCCUUAGAUGUCCAGGGCCGCACGCGCGCUACACUGAAAGAAUCAACGUGGAUGCCCACCUGCUCCGAGAGGAGUGGGAAACCCGAUGAAUCUCUUUCGUGAUGGGGAUUGGGGCUUGUAAUUAUUCCCCAUGAACGACGAAUUCCCAGUAAGCGUCAGUCAUCAGCUGGCGUUGAUUACGUCCCUGCCCUUUGUACACACCGCCCGUCGCUACUACCGAUUGAAUGGUUUAGUGAGACCCUCGGACUGGAAUCCGUUUGCUGCUUUCGGGUGGCGGACGGGGACGGAAAGACGGUCG